CCUACGGGAGGCAGCAGUGGGGAAUAUUGGUCAAUGGGCGCAAGCCUGACCCAGCAACGCCGCGUGAAGGAAGAAGGCUUUCUGGUUGUUAACUUCUUUUAUCAGGGACGAAGCAAGUGACGGUACCUGAUGAAUAAGCCACGGCUAACUACGUGCCAGCAGCCGCGGUGAUACGUAGGUGGCAAGCGUUAUCCGGAUUUACUGGGUGUAAAGGUCGUGUAGGCGGGAGUGCAAGUCAGAUGUGAAAAAUAGGGGCUCAACCCAUAGCCUGCAUUUGAAACUGUACUUCUUGAGUGCUGGAGAGGUAGUCGGAAUUCCGGGUGUAGCGGUGAAAUGCGUAGAUAUAAGGAAGAACACCAGUGGCGAAGGCGGAUUGCUGGACAGUAACUGACGCUGAGGCGCGAAAGCGUGGGGAGCAAACAGGAUUAGAUACCCUAGUAGUC
rnacentral:rRNA from 1 species